AUGGCCGCAGUAAAAAGACGCUUUGUUUUCUUCAGUUCAGUGUUUCCACGUUUUAAACGAAUAUCUAUCGACGAAACCACAGCAAAGUGAGUGAGGUACACAGCCCUGUUCUGAGCAAAGGAGGUCAGGAACAAGGCAAGAUGAGUCCAGAGAGAGUUGCUCCCAAGAUCGUCUAAUUAUGCCGAUGCCACCUAUGCCCCCCGGGUUCAGACCCAUGAUGGGUGGUCCACCCGGUAUGCCACCCAUGCCCAACCUUCCUGGGAUGCCCCCCGUCCCACCUAUGAGACCCCCUUCCAUAACUACCUCCAGUGGAUCCAUCAGUGCACCCUCAGCGAUCUCCAGUGCAGUGACGAUAUCAAGCAGUCAUCCACAGCAACAACCUAACCUCUGUUACCAAGUCCAGCUGCUGGCAGCAGGACGAACCGUCAAGUAGAGCUUCUAGGAAUCUCAGAGAGUGGAAUCCAAUUGAUCAAAAGAGAAUACCAUUGUCUAAAAUCUGCUGACAGUCCUGGAAUGCAUCCAAGCAGUGACUUAUCGUAAGGGAAGGAUCUAAAUCUUAGUGACCAGCAAGCAUCAGAGACUGUCCAACUGGCUGCACUGCAGCACUAGGCAGAAGAUAAGGUCAUACCACAUGGCUGCAGGACUUAGAGAACAUUCAGAAAGUUCCAAGGGAGGUAACUUUGUUGAGAUUCUUGUGCUACUUGGUGAAAAAGAUGAAUUGAUGACAAAACACAAAAGCAUGCGUCAGAUUCCCGUGUUGGAGGUGGAUGCUUAUUGGCCAUCAACAAGGCUGGAAUUCACUAGAUACAUCCACAGUCACAUGAAUCUUAGUGACUGAUGGCUUUGUUUAGAUGGCGUCAUCUCGGAGGGAUCAGUGGCAGGCAAUUUGUGGACCUUCAAUGCUGCAACUUGAUGGUGCAAAGAGUCACCAACAGACUUCGAGCAAUUCUAAACUCGUGUAUACAGUGCUCACACACAUCGGUGUAUUUGGUGCACUGAAAUCAUUUGUGAGAUUGGCCUUCACAUGCAAGCCCAUGCAUUCAGCAAGCACCCAAACCAACCAUCCGAGAUGACACCACAGACUACAACAACAUUCAACAUUCUAACUGUGCUGGAUAGACAAUGAAUCAACUUGGAGUGGUAGAAGUGUAGGAGAGCUGAGAAGAGCAACCAAAGAGAACAGGUGAUCCUAACCAGCAUGCCAACCACAGUGACGACAGCCCAUACAACCCUACGAAGCACUGGGGAGAAAUCACCAAUACCUGAGAUGACACCUAAAGCGAUACCUAAAGCAAUACACUGUAUUAUGCGGUAGGAGGAAACCUCGCUAUAGCUUUUGUUUGUAGAAUAAAAAGAAACAUCA